rnacentral:rRNA from 1 species
GACAGAGGGUGCAAACGUUGUUCGGAAUUACUGGGCGUAAAGCGCGUGUAGGCGGCUAAGUAAGUCGGGCGUGAAAUCCCACGGCUCAACCGUGGAAGUGCACUCGAAACUGCAUAGCUAGAGUCCUGGAGAGGAAGGUGGAAUGCUUGGUGUAGAGGUGAAAUUCGUAGAUAUCAAGCGGAACACCGGUGGCGAAGGCGGCCUUCUGGACAGUGACUGACGCUGAGACGGCGAAAGCGUGGGGAGCAAACAGG